rfam:Mus musculus chromosome 7, GRC primary reference assembly.
GCCUCGUUAGUGCGGUAGGUAGUGUGCGUCAGUCUCACAAUCUGAAAGUUGUGAGUUCUAUCCUCACACGGGGCA